ensembl:misc_RNA
UUGAGAAACCGUGGCAGGGGUAGCACAUCUCUUCAGCCACAAACUAUUUCUUCCCCAGGGCAGUAUUUCCCAAUUAUGCCAUCCUGUCAUCAUCACCUCCUUCUUGUCUGAACUCAUCAACAUUUCAGCCAAAUUACUGUGCUGCUAAGUCACUGGGAAAAUCAGGACCCCACACCAAGACGAUCAUCUUAGAAAUGCACAAAC